CAUUUCUCGAAAUCAGGUCUCUGCAUUGCAUCCAUGUAGGUGAUUGGAUCCUCAUCGUUCUUAUCGAGUUCGAUAGGAUCACCGUUCUAGACCAAGAAACCGUAGUAUCUGUCCGGCUGACGCAGUACUCUAUCGGAUCUCCUUAAUGGUGUAGGUACAUUGGGCUCCAGAUCUGAUCUAAUCAAAUCCGACUCAAGUUUAGGUAUUGGUGUCGGUCUUUCUACCUGUUGAACUUCAUCAAGUUC
rnacentral:lncRNA from 1 species